AAAUUGAAGAGUUUGAUCAUGGCUCAGAUUGAACGCUGGCGGCAGGCCUAACACAUGCAAGUCGAACGGUAACAGGAAGAAGCUUGCUUCUUUGCUGACGAGUGGCGGACGGGUGAGUAAUGUCUGGGAAACUGCCUGGUGGAGGGGGAUAACUACUGGAAACGGUAGCUAAUACCGCAUAACGUCGCAAGACCAAAGAGGGGGACCUUCGGGCCUCUUGCCAUCGGAUGUGCCCAGAUGGGAUUAGCUAGUAGGUGGGGUAACGGCUCACC
rnacentral:rRNA from 1 species